rnacentral:lncRNA from 1 species
GAACCAUCGCGGCCGCCGCCAGCCCGGCCCUCCGCGGCCGCGCGUCCUGGGCCCGUUCCGCCAGCCCCGUCUGCUCUCUACCCGCGGCCCCGCGGCGGCGACCGUGAAGACUCGGCGGCCCCUACAGCACGCUCUCGGCCCUCCGUCCCUCGCGGGCCCCGACUCUCCCUCCUCGCAGUCCCCCGGAGCCUGGCGCCCGGCUCGGGCCGCACCGCCAGGGACUGGGGUGAGCGGCCCAGAAAUCUCCAAAUUGGACAUCCAGAGCAGCAUUCUUGUUCUAUCUACGUCUUGAAUUAGAAACCACCAAGGCUCUGUAAGUCCUGAAAAGGAAAUAAAAGCAAUUUCCUGCUGCAGAGAGCAUUUUAAGAAAGGACAGUGUUCCUGUGACCUCUGCCUACCAUCCAUAAAAUACUCAUUCCCCUCUCAGCUCUGCCUACAGUUGAACACAAAGACCUGGAGGAGACUCCCACCUCCUUCAGGGAGAAGAAAGGAGGCAGCGAAGCAGAUUAAAGGAACUUGUGGCUUGUGGCCUUUUUGUGCAAGGGCUGCCUGGAAGGGGAGAAAAGUGCAUGAAAGCCACCGUGGCGGUUAAUGAGCUGUGAGAUGAGGCGCUGCUGCGGCCGCUGCUGCUGACACUCGCUCCCAGGCUGCACCCGCCGCCCUUGGCGCUUCAUGUACAUGUGUCUAUUCAGGCCGUGCGGAGGCGCCCAGAAGAGCAUCCAACACGGCUG